GCCACAGUCAAGAUGGCGGCCGCGCGGAAGCUGCCUGCCUGUGAGCUGCCGUGACACGCGGAGCCCUAACCAGGCUCCCUCUUUUGGUGCUGAUGAUGACAGAGUCUGCAUGGACUUGAAUAGAAUUCAGAAGGGUGCUGUGGCUGUUUGUGCCAUCGAUGCAUCUGGCUGCUUCACAGCAGAGGUGGCUGACUUGGCUGGACAGUAUGUGAAGGAUGCAGAUAAGAACAUCACUAAAGUACUGAAAGAGAAAGGCAGACUGGUUCACAGCAGUAGUUUUAAGCACAGCUCUCCUUUCUACUGGAGAGUCUUUUCAUCUUCCCUGGGCUAACUGAAAACACCUCUUUCAGUAUGUGACCUUGCCUGAGUUGCCUGCUGUUGUGAUCUUCAAAGAUGGAGCUUCCUUUGUUUCUGAUGGUGCCAAAAAGGAGAGCUUCUUCACCUGCUUCUCCGGUGCAAGCUCUUCUGUCUGUCUGUUGAGAUGUUUCUGCCUGUUUAUCUGGCAGAGAAGUGUUUGCUUUUUUGGCUGGCGAGCUGACCAUCCGUGCUACCGUCGCCUUGAAUGCCUCCAACCAGCAGUGUUUGCUGCCAGACAGACACCUUGAGAAGACAGAGGACAUGGUUAAGUUCAUGAACAAUAUCUUGGAUGGUGCUGCUGAAUGAUCUGUUGUAGCAGAAGGAAGCUGUGGCUGCCUGAGCCUGAGACUCAACAUCUGGAAAAGUUGGGAGUUACCCUGGAUGCCUGUGAGGGUAAAGGGAUCUGAUACACAUCUUAGGGCAAUGUGUGUAAGUAUCUGCAGCAUUCCUGAAAACUUGGUGCUAGUUAAAGCAGAGAGAGCAGUACUGGAUGGUUUGUGCUGAGGGCCACGAGGAUGAUCAGAGGGUGGGAGCAGGUCUGCUAUGAGGACAGACUGAAAGAGUUGGGGCUGUGCAAGCUGGAGAAGAGGAGGCUCCAAGGUGGCCUUCUUGUGGCCUUCCAGUAUCUGAAGCCCCCUGUGGCCUACAAAAAAACUGGGGAGGAACUUCAUAGGCUAUCAGAUAGUGCCAGGACUAGGGGGAAUGGAGCAAAGCUGGAGGUGGGGAGAUUCAGACUGGACGUGUGGAGGAAGUUGUUGAGCAUGAGAGUGGCGAGAGCCUGUAAUGGGUUGCCCAGGGAGAUGGUUGAGGCCCCAUCCCUGGAGGUGUUUAAGGCCAGGCUGGAUGAGGCUCUGGCCAGCCUGCUCUAGGGUAGGGUGUCCCUGCCCAUGGCAGGGGGUUGGAACUGGAUGAUUUUUGUGGUCCCUUUCAGCCCUGACUGAUUCUCUCUGCUAUCCAGCUGCAUUCUGCAAUCCCUCUAAGAACAGAUGCUGGCUUUGUAGAAUGUCUCUGUAGGAGGUGUGAAAGGAAUUGGGAGUCUCAUCUGCCUGGACACAGAAACUCUGCUGUCUUUCACAUGGCAGGGGAAUGAUGAUGCAGCAGAGGAGCAGGUGAGUGAGGCAUGGGGCAGCCUCCUGAAAAGGCUGCUUGCAGCCUCAGAUGUUUGCAAUGCUUGAGAAUCCUUGGCAGGCAUUAAAAACAUUAAACCCUGUAAGUGUUAGCUUGUGGUGUUCCAACAGAUCAAAAGCUCUCCUUUUUAAUCUAGGUAUACAAGAGUGGUAUUGGGGUGUAAAAGAGACUUGGAAAUGCCCCCCCCCAUCUCCUCUAUGAUAUGUAAAGGCUUCUAGAAAAUAAAACCAACUCCUAGGUAGAAUUAUGAAAUAUAACUUGUGUAUAUGUAAAUUGAAACCAGUGGAUUUUCCUUUGUGUGUCUUGGGUGUUUGGAAAGUGCUUGCCAGCAGGAGUGGGAAAUAAUGCUCAUUAAACUUGAAAAUGAAGUUUCAGCUUGCCCAGCUGCCUCUCAGCAUUGCUGUCCCUACUACAGAGGGGUGGGCAGGCUGCAUCCCUCUCUGGAGGAAGGGAGGGGUGGCUUGCUGUGCUUCAGAGCCUACAAAGAGGGGACUCUUGGACUGAGAUGACCUUCAACAGCAGGACAGCUGCGCAGCAGUGCUGCACACCUUGCAGUUUGUACUUAGCAGCAGGUCUGGCAGCCCUGUGCUAUGCCUUAUGCCUUAUCCCCAGAAGGGAUUUGCUAGGUGAAUUGUUCACGUUCUUUCCCCAUGUCUCAGUUUCCCUGACUAGAAAAUGAGUCAUGAAAGGGCAAACUGCUGUGCUAUGCUCCAGCAAAGAGCAAAGGCUGCUCACCCUCCAGAGCAAAACCGCCAGCCCAUCACUGCCUUGCAUACACUUCUGUCACCAGCUCCUCCUCAGCCCGCUGGGCUUUUUGUCACUCAGCAGGCAUUGGGGCUUGUUUUGUCUGCUGCGUUCCCUCAGCACCCCCACCCACCUACUUCUUCCUGACUGCUGCAUAAUGGGCCUGAAAACACAGACCUGAAAUGCACAUCUGACAUUGAAUUUGGACAUGAGAGUUUAAUGAGGCUGUGGCGGUUCUGCCACUCACAGCCUCCACAUCCUGCCCCUUACACUCGCAUUUCCUUAAUGACAUGUGUCCCCACCACACCUGUGUGAGUGCACACUUAACAUGCACGUGCUCCCCAACAUCACCCACCCUUGCUCCCAGCUGCUCUCUGCAGGGGUGUUGGACAAGAUGAACUUGGAGGGUUCCUUCCAACCCGAUGCAGUCUGUGAUUCUGCAGACUGCUCUCUCUCUCUGUGCCUCCUCCCAGGGUGCUGAGGCCAUAGGGCAGAUGCGACCGAUAGAGAUUCUCCACAUCUAGUAAAUCAAAAACCUUCUGUGCUAGUUUGAAGCAAGCUAGAAUGUCUUGGUGAGAAGAACUACAUCAUAGGCUGUGAAAGGGAAACAAUGGUGUUGUCUACGCCCCUCAGAGUCUUGCUGAAGAAGAAACGAAAACAUUAGAUAACACUCUCUGCCUUGGGCUUCUGACUGAGCUGCAUCUCCCUAACCUCACCUUCCAUUUGGACUAACCCACCUUUGCUUCAUAACCUCUUGGCUGAACCUCUGUUCUUCUUUAGGACUGGGGUAAGGUUGAGAGGGGCAGGGAGAAGGUGUGGCGGUGGUUGAGAGUCCCUCCUGGGGACUCAGGUUUCUGAGAGGGGAGUUGUGCUUCUGUAUCACCUUUUACCUUGUAUAUUUCUGUAUAUAAUUGUAUAUACUGUAAAUAUCUGCUUGUGUAUUGUGCUAGCUGUAAAUAAAUAGCUUCAUUUAUAUUCCCAGA